rnacentral:tRNA from 1 species
GCGACACUAGCUCAGUUGGUAGAGCGCAACCUUGCCAAGGUUGAGGUCACGAGUUCGAACCUCGUGUGUNGCUCCA